rnacentral:rRNA from 1 species
ACCGUGCAAAGGUAGCAUAAUCAUUAGUUUUUUAAUUGAAAGCUGGUAUGAAUGGUUGGACGAGAAAGUAACUGUCUCAAUUUAAUUGAAUUAGAAUUUUAUUUUUAAGUUAAAAAGCUUAAAUAAUUUUAAAAGACGAGAAGACCCUAUAGAGUUUUAUAUAUAGAUAUAUAUAUAAGUAUUGGCAUAUAUGUUAAGUAUAUAGAUAUGUAUUUUGUUGGGGUGACAAAAAAAUUGAUUAAACUUUUUUUAUAUUGAAUCAUUAAUUUAUGAUUAAGUGAUCCGUUAUUUACGAUUAUAAGAUUAAAUUACCUUAGGGAUAACAGCGUAAUUCUUUUUAAGAGUUCUUAUCGAAAGGAGAGUUU